AGCGAACGCUGGCGGCAGGCCUAACACAUGCAAGUCGAACGAACUCUUCGGAGUUAGUGGCGGACGGGUGAGUAACACGUGGGAACGUGCCUUUUGGUUCGGAAUAACUCAGGGAAACUUGUGCUAAUACCGAAUGUGCCCUUCGGGGGAAAGAUUUAUCGCCAUUAGAGCGGCCCGCGUCUGAUUAGCUAGUUGGUGAGGUAACGGCUCACCAAGGCGACGAUCAGUAGCUGGUCUGAGAGGAUGACCAGCCACACUGGGACUGAGACACGGCCCAGACUCCUACGGGAGGCAGCAGUGGGGAAUCUUGCGCAAUGGGCGAAAGCCUGACGCAGCCAUGCCGCGUGAAUGAUGAAGGUCUUAGGAUUGUAAAAUUCUUUCACCGGGGACGAUAAUGACGGUACCCGGAGAAGAAGCCCCGGCCAACUUCGUG
rnacentral:rRNA from 1 species